rnacentral:rRNA from 1 species
CAGAAGUAGUUAGCCUAACCGCAAGGAGGGCGAUUACCACGGCAGGGUUCGUGACUGGGGUGAAGUCGUAACAAGGUAGCCGUAUCGGAAGGUGCGGCUGGAUCACCUCCUUUCUG